UACGUAGGGUGCAAGCGUUAAUCGGAAUUACUGGGCGUAAAGCGUACGCAGGCGGCUGUGUAAGACAGGUGUGAAAUCCCCGGGCCUAACCUGGGAACUGCAUUUGUGACUGCAUAGCUAGAGUCUGUCAGAGGGGGGUGGAAUUCCACGUGUAGCAGUGAAAUGCGUAGAGAUGUGGAGGAACACCGAUGGCGAAGGCAGCCCCCUGGGACAAGACUGACGCUCAUGUACGAAAGCGUGGGGAGCAAACAGG
rnacentral:rRNA from 1 species